rnacentral:sRNA from 1 species
GUUCUCGAGAGCCUCCUUGGUGUAGGCGUAGCUCAGACCGCAGGCAAUAAUGCCAACAUCCCCAUCCCCCUCA